AUUGAACGCUAGCGGGAGUGCCUUACACAUGCGAGUCGAACGGCAGCAUAAGGAGAGGCUUAGGCUCUCUUUGAUGGCGAGUGGCGAACGGGUGAGUAAUGUAUCGGAACGUGCCCAGUAGCGGGGGAUAACUACGCGAAAGCGUAGCUAAUACCGCAUAGGUACGGACACUGCAUGGUGACCGUAUUAAAAGUGCCUCAAAGCACUGGUAGAGGAUGGACUUAUGGCGCAUUAGCUGGUUGGCGGGGUAACGGCCCACCAAGGCGACGAUGCGUAGCCGACCUGAGAGGGUUGACCGGCCACACUGGGACUGAGACACGGCCCAG
rnacentral:rRNA from 1 species